GAUGAACGCUAGCUACAGGCUUAACACAUGCAAGUCGAGGGGAAACGACAUCGAAAGCUUGCUUUUGAUGGGCGUCGACCGGCGCACGGGUGAGUAACGCGUAUCCAACCUGCCCAUCACUUGGGGAUAACCUUGCGAAAGUAAGACUAAUACCCAAUGAUAUCUCUAGAAGACAUCUGAAAGAGAUUAAAGAUUUAUCGGUGAUGGAUGGGGAUGCGUCUGAUUAGCUUGUUGGCGGGGUAACGGCCCACCAAGGCAACGAUCAGUAGGGGUUCUGAGAGGAAGGUCCCCCACAUUGGAACUGAGACACGGUCCAAACUCCUACGGGAGGAAGCAGUGAGGAAUAUUGGUCAAUGGGCGAGAGCCUGAACCAGCCAAGUAGCGUGCAGGAAGACGGCCCUAUGGGUUGUAAACUGCUUUUAUAAGGGAAUAAAGUGAGAGUCGUGACUCUUUUUGUAUGUACCUGAUGAAUAAGGACCGGCUAAUUCCGUG
rnacentral:rRNA from 1 species